UGUUGAAAAAGCAUCUGAGGGACAUCAGAUGAGUGAAAAUGAAUGGCAGGGAUAUGAAAAGGAAUGAACAAAUUGUCAAAAUAGCACAUCUUGACUAGGCCAUUUUGCCGCUGAAAAACAGAUAGACCGCCAUGUAUCUUCAAUGAGGGUUGCAGCCAUCGAUGGAGAUCAAGGUUCCCAGGAGACUUCCACCGAGAGGAUGGAACUAUUGAUGACAUGAAAGAGUGGAAGGUACUGCCGAAGAUUGCUAUGAUCCAAUUUAUUAAAGAACUUUCUAGAGAUGCUUUCACAGCUCAUCACGUAGAUUCAAUCUCAGAAGAGGAUCUAAUUUGGCCACUGCUAUGUUGAAUAUGCUUUGGAUUGGUAAGUAUAUAUUUUGCACAUUAUGGGAGCAGCAUACU